AGUGAACGCUGGCGGUAGGCCUAACACAUGCAAGUCGAACGGCAGCACAGUAAGAGCUUGCUCUUACGGGUGGCGAGUGGCGGACGGGUGAGGAAUACAUCGGCAUCUACUUUUUCGUGGGGGAUAACGUAGGGAAACUUACGCUACUACCGCAUACGACCUACGGGUGAAAGCAGUGGAUCUUCGGACCUUGCGCGAUUGAAUGAGCCGGUGUCGGAUUAGCUAGUUGGCGGGGUAAAGGCCCACCAAGGCGACGAUGCGUAGCUGGUCUGAGAGGAUGAUCAGCCACACUGGAACUGAGACACGGUCCAGACUCCUACGGGAGGCAGCAGUGGGGAAUAUUGGGCAAUGGGCGCAAGCCUGAUCCAGCCAUACCGCGUGGGUGAAGAAGGCCUUCGGGUUGUAAAGCCCUUUUGUUGGGAAAGAAAAGCAGCAGGUUAAUACCCCGCUGUUCUGACGGUACCCAAAGAAUAAGCACCGGCUAACUUCGUG
rnacentral:rRNA from 1 species